rnacentral:rRNA from 1 species
UACAGAGGUCUCAAGCGUUGUUCGGAUUUAUUGGGCGUAAAGAGCUCGUAGGCGGCUCGGCAAGUCGGGUGUGAAAGCCCUGGGCUUAACCUAGGAAGUGCACUCGAAACUGCCAAGCUUGAGUUCUGGAGAGGAAGGCGGAAUUCUCGGUGUAGAGGUGAAAUUCGUAGAUAUCGAGAGGAACAUCAGUGGCGAAAGCGACUCCUGGACCAAUACUGACGCUCAUGUGCGAAAGCGUGGGGAGCAAACAGG